UCUCCGUAGGUGAACCUGCGGAGGGAUCAUUACUGAGUGAGGGCUCACGCCCGACCUCCAACCCUUUGUGAACCAAACUUGUUGCUUCGGGGGCGACCCUGCCGACGACUUUGUCGCCGGGCGCCCCCGGAGGUCUUCUAAACACUGCAUCUUUGCGUCUGAGUAAACAUUAAAUGAAACAAAACUUUCAACAACGGAUCUCUUGGUUCUGGCAUCGAUGAAGAACGCAGC
rnacentral:misc_RNA from 1 species